rnacentral:rRNA from 1 species
GACGAACGCUGGCGGUGUGCUUAACACAUGCAAGUCGAACGGUAAGGCCCUUUCGGGGGUACACGAGUGGCGAACGGGUGAGUAACACGUGAGUAACCUGCCCUCAUCUCUGGGAUAACAGUCGGAAACGGUUGCUAAUACUGGAUAUGAGCUUGCAAGGCAUCUUUUGGGUUGGAAAGAUUUUUUUUGGUUGGGGAUGGACUCGCGGCCUAUCAGCUUGUUGGUGAGGUAGUGGCUCACCAAGGCUUCGACGGGUAGCCGGCCUGAGAGGGCGACCGGCCACAUUGGGACUGAGAUACGGCCCAAACUCCUACGGGAGGCAGCAGUGGGGAAUAUUGCACAAUGGACGGAAGUCUGAUGCAGCAACGCCGCGUGCGGGAUGACGGCCUUCGGGUUGUAAACCGCUUUCAAUUGUGACGAAGCUUUUUUGUGACGGUAGCAGUAGAAGAAGCACCGGCUAACUACGUG